rnacentral:rRNA from 1 species
GACGAACGCUGGCGGCGUGCUUAACACAUGCAAGUCGAACGGAAAGGCCUGCUUUCCCUUGUGUAUUGCGGGUACUCGAGUGGCGAACGGGUGAGUAACACGUGAGUGAUCUGCCCCCAACUUUGGUAUAAGCCUGGGAAACUGGGUCUAAUUCCCGAUAGGACUGCAGGGUGGUGCCUGUGGUGGAAAACGAUUUUCUAGUGGUUGUGGAUGAGCUCGCGGCCUAUCAGGUUGUUGGUGGGGUAAUGGCCUACCAAGGCGGCGACGGGUAGCCGGCCUGAGAGGGUGGACGGCGACAUUGGGACUGGGAUACGGCCCAGACUCCUACGGGAGGCAGCAGUGGGGAAUAUUGCACAAUGGGCGGAAGCCUGAUGCAGCGACGCCGCGUGGGGGAUGACGGCAUUCGGGUUGUAAACUCCUUUCGACCGCGAGGAAGCCACCUGGUUGGAAGGGUGGUGACGGUAGUGGUAGAAGAAGCACCGGCUAACUACGUG